CCUACGGGAGGCAGCAGUCGAGAAUCAUUCACAAUGGGGGAAACCCUGAUGCUGCGACGCCGCGUGGGGGAAUGAAGGUCUUCGGAUUGUAAACCCCUGUCAUGUGGGAGCAAAUUAAAAAGAUAGUACCACAAGAGGAAGUGACGGCUAACUCUGUGCCAGCAGCCGCGGUAAUACAGAGGUCUCAAGCGUUGUUCGGAAUCACUGGGCGUAAAGCGUGCGUAGGCUGUUUCGUAAGUCGUGUGUGAAAGGGGCGGGCUCAACCCGCGGACGGCACAUGAUACUGCGAGACUAGAGUAAUGGAGGGGGAACCGGAAUUCUCGGUGUAGCAGUGAAAUGCGUAGAUAUCGAGAGGAACACUCGUGGCGAAGGCGGGUUCCUGGACAUUAACUGACGCUGAGGCACGAAGGCCAGGGGAGCGAAAGGGAUUAGAUACCCUUGUAGUC
rnacentral:rRNA from 1 species